rnacentral:rRNA from 1 species
GUGCCAGCAGCCGCGGUAAUACGUAGGGUGCAAGCGUUGUCCGGAAUUAUUGGGCGUAAAGAGCUCGUAGGCGGUGUGUCGCGUCGGCCGUGAAAACUUUCAGCUUAACUGGGAGCGUGCGGUCGAUACGGGCAUCACUUGAGUUCGGCAGGGGAGACUGGAAUUCCUGGUGUAGCGGUGAAAUGCGCAGAUAUCAGGAGGAACACCGGUGGCGAAGGCGGGUCUCUGGGCCGAUACUGACGCUGAGGAGCGAAAGCGUGGGGAGCGAACAGGAUUAGAUACCCUGGUAGUCC